rnacentral:sRNA from 1 species
UACAAUAGAAUCGGCUCCUCAAGGGUGGUCGGCUCAUCUCCCACGUCGGAAACGGGGGGAGGUGAGAGUAUGGCAAUAACGCACGAAACAAUGAGCCUGAUGAUUCAGUUUGGCGGCUUCAUCGUCGGCCUGCUGAGUCUCGUCGUGGCGAUUGUCGUUGCUUUGACCCAAAAAAGAAGUAGACCUCCCUUGAGCUUGGUAGGCCAGGAGGUCUACUAUUCGGAAAACGAGCCGACGCCUUGAGGCGGGCUAUUGUACAAGGCUGCAGAUGUUACCGCAUCUGUAG